rnacentral:lncRNA from 1 species
GUAACAAUUGGUAUCAAUUAAUAAUAAAUGGUAAGUCCAAGUAUCGUUUUCCCAAGAGACUCGAAAGGCCUUAUCGUUCAUGUGAAUUAAAAUAGUAAGACUUGAAAAUAAAAAUUAAUCAAUUGGAUGUGUGAAUAAAAUAUGAACAUGCAAAAGAGAUUGAUUCAAUUGACGAGAAGAAAACAAUGGAUGAAUGGAGUUGUUGGGGGUUUACAAUUUCAUCUUAUCCGCUCUCUCUUAUUUACUCCUCUUGAAUUAUCAGCUUGAUUAGUUAAUUGUCAUGCAACUUUCUUAGCCUACCCUUAACCCGAUCCCUCGGCGAAAAGAGCCUAAUACUAAUUACUGGCUUGUUAUCCCUAGCCUCCCCUAGCAAUUAAUACAGCAUUAUAGAGCAGAAGUUAAAAGCAAUUUAUCGUCCUACCCCUAUCCCUAGGUGGUAUUGCUUAAUCAAGAAAUUACUCACCAGUUCAUGACAUUACUGUACGUCCCCGUAUCAAUAAAGACAAACAUCAGUUAUCGAAUGAGUUAAACGAUAAAGGCAUUAAGUACAGAUGAGAACCCAACAAUUAACAAU